GAUGAACGCUGGCGGCGUGCCUAAUACAUGCAAGUCGAGCGAACAGACGAGGAGCUUGCUCCUCUGACGCUAGCGGCGGACGGGUGAGUAACACGUGGAUAACCUACCUAUAAGACUGGGAUAACUUCGGGAAACCGGAGCUAAUACCGGAUAAUAUAUUGAACCGCAUGGUUCAAUAGUGAAAGACGGUUUUGCUGUCACUUACAGAUGGAUCCGCGCCGCAUUAGCUAGUUGGUAAGGUAACGGCUUACCAAGGCAACGAUGCGUAGCCGACCUGAGAGGGUGAUCGGCCACACUGGAACUGAGACACGGUCCAGACUCCUACGGGAGGCAGCAGUAGGGAAUCUUCCGCAAUGGGCGAAAGCCUGACGGAGCAACGCCGCGUGAGUGAUGAAGGACUUCGGAUCGUAAAACUCUGCUAUUAGGGAAGAACAAAUGUGUAAGUAACUAUGCACGUCUUGACGGUACCUAAUCAGAAAGCCACGGCUAACUACGUG
rnacentral:rRNA from 1 species